GGGUUAGGGGUUUAGAGUGUGUUAGGAAGGAUUAGGAACCAGGUAGGACAGUGGGUUAGGAAGGAUUAGGAACCAGGUAGGACAGUGGGUUAGGGGUUUUAGAGUGUGUUAGGAAGGAUUAGGAACCAGGUAGGACAGUGGGUUAGGGGGUUUAGAGUGUGUUAGGAAGGAUUAGGAACCAGGUAGGACAGUGGGUUAGGGGUUUUAGAGUGUGUUAGGAAGGAUUAGGAACCAGGUAGGACAGUGGGUUAGGGUUUAGAGUGUGUUAGGAAGGAUUAGGAACCAGGUAGGACAGUGGGUUAGGGGUUUUAGAGUGUGUUAGGAAGGAUUAGGAACCAGGUAGGACAGUGGGUUAGGGUUUAGAGUGUGUUAGGAAGGAUUAGGAACCAGG
rnacentral:lncRNA from 1 species